GUAGUUUUGUCUUCACAUUUGUUUGGCAUAUGAAAAUGUCAAAAAUGACCCUUACCCUGGAAAGUGGCUUUUGUAAUUAUUUGGUCCAUAUUAUGUGCAUAUUACAGGUUGGACACUUUACCAAAUAAUUCAAUCUGUUACAACAACACACAAAUUCAUGCAGACAUGGGCCUGGUAAUUGCAGGUUCUUGUACUGGAUUGUAUUAGAUUGUACCGUUCAGAUGGACACAUCUGGGUUUGGUCAGCAAAGGCUCCAAGGAACUGAUAAGGAUUUUGGUUUGUAGUGUCAUAGUGACCAAUGCAUGAAGAAAUCCUCAUGGAGGGUUUGCAUAAGAUGGUACCAUACGUAUGAGAAAUGCACCAUGGUCACUGUAAAUUGACAUCUGGUAUUACCAUCCAAUCGGUGUCUGGAUAUGUUUGGUGUAACUGUAAGUAGAACAGAAAGCUAUCAGAAUGUGAUGGGAGCAGACGGGUCAGAGGAGUUAGCACUAGUGCUAGCGAGCUUCCCCAUUUGCUCUGAUUACCUUAAUGAACUCAAAUUGUAUUUUAUUUGUACUCACGACAUCUUUUCAUGUCCACAGGGCCUCACAAUUACAAAUGACAAUUAAUGACUUUACAUGUGAAAUUACA